rnacentral:rRNA from 1 species
UCCAGAGGGUGCGAUCGUUAAUCGGAAUUACUGGGCGUAAAGCGCACGUAGGCGGCUUGGCAUGUCGGGUGUGAAAUCCCCGGGCUCAACCUGGGAACUGCAUCCGAAACUGCCUUGCUCGAGUAUGGGAGAGGGAAGUGGAAUUUCCGGUGUAGCGGUGAAAUGCGUAGAUAUCGGAAGGAACAUCAGUGGCGAAGGCGACUUCCUGGACCAAUACUGACGCUCAGGUGCGAAAGCGUGGGGAGCAAACAGG